rnacentral:rRNA from 1 species
ACGAACGCUGGCGGCGUGCUUAACACAUGCAAGUCGAACGGUGAAGCGCCUUCCUUUUUGGUGGGUGUGGAUGAGUGGCGAACGGGUGAGUAACACGUGAGUAACCUGCCCCCUUCUUCUGGAUAACCGCAUGAAAGUGUGGCUAAUACGGGAUAUUCUGGGUCUGUCGCAUGAUGGGUCUGGGAAAGAUAUUGUUUCGGUGGGGGAUGGGCUCGCGGCCUAUCAGCUUGUUGGUGGGGUGAUGGCCUACCAAGGCGGUGACGGGUAGCCGGCCUGAGAGGGUGGACGGGAACACUGGGACUGAGACACGGCCCAGACUCCUACGGGAGGCAGCAGUGGGGAAUAUUGCACAAUGGGCGCAAGCCUGAUGCAGCGACGCCGCGUGAGGGAUGGAGGCCUUCGGGUUGUGAACCUCUUUCGCCAGUGAAGCAGGCCUGCCUCGUUUGUGGGUGGGUUGACGGUAGCUGGAUAAGAAGCGCCGGCUAACUACGUG